GACGAACGCUGGCGGCGUGCUUAACACAUGCAAGUCGAACGGAAAGGCCCUGCUUUUGUGGGGUGCUCGAGUGGCGAACGGGUGAGUAACACGUGAGUAACCUGCCCUUGACUUUGGGAUAACUUCAGGAAACUGGGGCUAAUACCGGAUAGGAGCUCCUGCUGCAUGGUGGGGGUUGGAAAGUUUCGGCGGUUGGGGAUGGACUCGCGGCUUAUCAGCUUGUUGGUGGGGUAGUGGCUUACCAAGGCUUUGACGGGUAGCCGGCCUGAGAGGGUGACCGGCCACAUUGGGACUGAGAUACGGCCCAGACUCCUACGGGAUGCAGCAGUGGGGAAUAUUGCACAAUGGGCGGAAGCCUGAUGCAGCAACGCCGCGUGCGGGAUGACGGCCUUCGGGUUGUAAACCGCUUUCGCCUGUGACGAAGCGUGAGUGACGGUAAUGGGUAAAGAAGCACCGGCUAACUACGUGCCAGCAGCCGCGGUGAUACGUAGGGUGCGAGCGUUGUCCGGAUUUAUUGGGCGUAAAGGGCUCGUAGGUGGUUGAUCGCGUCGGAAGUGUAAUCUUGGGGCUUAACCCUGAGCGUGCUUUCGAUACGGGUUGACUUGAGGAAGGUAGGGGAGAAUGGAAUUCCUGGUGGAGCGGUGGAAUGCGCAGAUAUCAGGAGGAACACCAGUGGCGAAGGCGGUUCUCUGGGCCUUUCCUGACGCUGAGGAGCGAAAGCGUGGGGAGCGAACAGGCUUAGAUACCCUGGUAGUCCACGCUGUAAACGGUGGGUACUAGGUGUGGGGUCCAUUCCACGGGUUCCGUGCCGUAGCUAACGCUUUAAGUACCCCGCCUGGGGAGUACGGCCGCAAGGCUAAAACUCAAAGGAAUUGACGGGGCCCCGCACAAGCGGCGGAGCAUGCGGAUUAAUUCGAUGCAACGCGUAGAACCUUACCUGGGUUUGACAUGGAUCGGGAGUGCUCAGAGAUGGGUGUGCCUCUUUUGGGGUCGGUUCACAGGUGGUGCAUGGCUGUCGUCAGCUCGUGUCGUGAGAUGUUGGGUUAAGUCCCGCAACGAGCGCAACCCUUGUUCACUGUUGCCAGCACGUUAUGGUGGGGACUCAGUGGAGACCGCCGGGGUCAACUCGGAGGAAGGUGGGGAUGACGUCAAGUCAUCAUGCCCCUUAUGUCCAGGGCUUCACGCAUGCUACAAUGGCUGGUACAGAGAGUGGCGAGCCUGUGAGGGUGAGCGAAUCUCGGAAAGCCGGUCUCAGUUCGGAUUGGGGUCUGCAACUCGACCUCAUGAAGUCGGAGUCGCUAGUAAUCGCAGAUCAGCAACGCUGCGGUGAAUACGUUCCCGGG
rnacentral:rRNA from 1 species